rnacentral:tRNA from 1 species
AUCCCUGAAGCGCAGUGGAUAUCGCGUUGGACUUCUAAUCUAAAGCUCGUGGGUUCGAAUCCUACCUGGGAUG